GGGAGAGUGGCGGAACAGGUAUACGGCAGUAGAUUGACGGAAGCGCUCUGAAGUCGUCGUUAAUAAAGCUCUUGAGUUUGAAGGUUCGAAUCCUUCCUCUCCCU
rnacentral:tRNA from 1 species